AUGGAACAAUGUAGGCAAGGGAAGUCGGCAAAACGGAUCCGUAACUUCGGGAAAAGGAUUGGCUCUGAGGACUGGGCUCGAGGGUCCCGGCCCCGAACCCGUCGGCUGUCGGCGGAUUGCUCGAGCUGCUCACGCGGCGAGAGCGGGUCGCCGCGUGCCGGCCGGGGGACGGACCGGGAAUCGCCCCUUCGGGGGCUUUCCCCGAGCAUGAAACAGUCGACUCAGAACUGGUACGGACAAGGGGAAUCCGACUGUUUAAUUAAAACAAAGCAUUGCGAUGGUCCUCGCGGAUGCUGA
rnacentral:rRNA from 1 species